rnacentral:miRNA from 1 species
CCGCUGAGUGGGGAGGAGAGAGGGACAGAGAGCCUGCUUCUUUAAAGGAGCAAAGUGGGAGAGGAGAGGAGCCACUUACACGAGUGUAAGCGGCUCCUGUCCGGUUGGUUCCUUUAAAGCAAGCAGGCUCUCUGUCCCUCUCUCCUCCCCACUCAGCU